UUCCCUACCCAGCAUUUUCAAACUCCUCUCUCUCUCUCUCUCUCCCCAUUCCGGAAAUGACGACGCUCGAGAACCUCUUCAUGCAGAUCUUCGAUCGCAGGAACUGGAUCCUCGAUCAGCUGAAAAACCAAACGCACUCCUACGACCAAUCCCUCGCUUCCAAUCUCCUCAUCAACGGCAUUCGACCCCCUUCUUGGCUCUGGAACCCCGCUCACAGAUCCGACGCCCAAAAUGCCGCCGAUCUGAAAGAUUUGAAGAGAGAGGAGCUGAUUUCAGGUCUCUUAUUUCCACCUCCACGACCCCCCAUUCCUCCAUCCACUGGUCACUGCACUAUUUACAAUAAGCAAGCUGCUAAGGAAGAUAAUAGGCAGCUUUCUGACAGCUUGAUCACAGAAACUUGUGCUUCAAAUAGAUGCUUUGAGGCAGAGGACAGGUCAACAGCAGUAGCUAAGAUAUCUCUCAAUGGCAGCAAGCUUGGCCAGAAAUGUAAUGUCAGUGAGGUUCCUGAGCUGGACACCAUUUCUGCUUCUCCCCAUGUUCAGACAGAUGCGAAAAUUGAUGAGACCUAUUUUGAUCUCAAUCAAUCGCUAGCAAGGAUCCAGCGGUCCAAGUCAAGGCAAAAGGCUCUAGAGCUUCGGAAUAGUGUGAAAGAAAGUUCAGAAAAGUGUUUGUCCAAGGAAAAUAUUACCUAUGCACAUACUGGCAGAGUUACAAGGUCAACAGGUACUCACCAACAGCCUACUGGUGUAAUGGAAUCAUCGAAAGACUCCUCAGGUAUCACCAACGGGUGUGGUGGAAGAGUUACCCGAUCUAGAUCCACUAAGCAGUUAAAUUGUGUUGAUGAUGCAUCAAUUAAACCAGGAGGAUGCUUAAACUGUCUUGGAGGAGAUGGCCUCCAAAAGGCAGUAGAUGCUGAUGUAACUGUCCCGUCGGAACACGCUGUAAAUAAAUUAAACCUCUCAUCUAAUGACGUUGAUGAUAUUGAUGAUCCACAUUCUUGCGCUGCUGGGAGUAUAGAAAUGGAGAUUGUUCUUGAUACGCCAGAUGCAGCCCAUAACAACAGAGGGAGAUUGGAAUCUUCCAUCUCAAGAUCUCCUAUUGACACAAACACCAUUGUGGAGCCGAGGCAGCUUGUCUUUGAUGACAUAGAAGAAUGCAGUGCAUUGGAAGAAGCUAAGCAGGAGAGCUCAUUGGAGAUGAGAGAUGUCGUGGAGUCGGUGCCUACUCAAUUAUCAAAGAAAGAACCAAUUUCCAAAGAUUUCCAGGAUACAGAUGGUUCCUCUGCUGCCGAGCUGCCGUCAGAAAAGGCUGUAUUACAGAACAAAACCGUGGACUGCAUGAAGGAAGCUUUGAAGACUUCCAUUGAAUGCCAAGCAGAGAGAUGUGAUAUGCUUCAGAAACAGGAAUCAGAGCAUGAGUUUUGUGAUGUCUCAUUUACUUAUAUACCUUCAAAUCUAUCCGCUCCAUCAUCGACGAACAGAACAUCCAUCUCUAAUAAAGCGUUUUGUGGAGAUGCAUUAACUGAUUCAUCCGCAGCUGGCAGUGGGAUGUCAAACCGGUCCUGGUCCAAAGUCGCUCAAUCCAAUUCAUCUCCCUCACAAAUAGUUGGAAAAGGUUCACUGGAAAGUGAGCUUCGAGCAGAGAAUUUCGAUUUCCCUAAAGUAGUUAUUGCUUCACAUAUAGGAAAUUCUGCUGGUGAGAAAUGCAUUGGGGAGUUUGAUGCCAGACCUCACAAGUCACUGCUAGAUGAUUGUGAACUUGCAGCAGCGGCAAAUGAUUUCCCUGGAAAAUUCACAAGAGCUUGUCUCAAUAGCGCUAGUGCUUUGCUUUGGUCUGGGGGACCUGACAUGUUGGACGCCCAAGAACCUCAAUUAUAUGCUGUAGCAGCGGAUGCUGAAAAUGUUGUUAGGCAGAAAAUAACUCCAGAACCUGCUCAAAGCCCCAGGAGAGAAGUUCCGUACUUCUUAAGGAGCUCUACUAGCUGUGAUAAGAAUCUUCACUCUUCUAAAUCAAAUGGAGGACAUGACAUGUUGGAAGGCCAAGAACCUCAAUUAUAUGCUGUUGCGGUGGAUGCUGAAAAUGGAAGUGUUUUAAGGAAGAAAGUAACUCCAAAACCUGCUCAAAGCCCCAGGCGAGAAGCUCCAUACUUCUUAAGGAGCUCUACUAGCUGUGAUAAGAAUCUUCGUUCUUCUAAAUCAAAUGGAGGACCUGACAUGUUGGAAGCCCUAGAACCUCAAUUAUAUGCUGUUGCAGUGGAUGCCGAAAAUGGAAGUGUUUUAAGGCAGAAGGUAACACCAAAACCUGCUCAAAGCUCCAAGAGAGAUGCUCCGUACUUCUUAAGGAGCUCUACUUUUUGUUCGUCUAAAUCAGAUGGAUCUCAUAGUGCAAAGCCAAGACAAUCAGUAAAAAAUGUCAAUAAUGCAUGUGUGAUUUCAUGGCCCAUGUUUAAGAGGAGGAAAACUGAUGGUCAAUCAAAUAAUUUCUUCAAUACAUCCCCAAGGGUUAGGGAAGUUAAUCAACCUGGGCAAAUUCAUGAGGACAGCAUCAAAAGACACUCAAAGAGCUUGGAAGUUACUUCAGAGAGAAUGGCAGAGGUUCAGAAUUUCUCCAUAUUGCAUGAAGUGGAAGCUGCUUGGACAAAUGCAGCCAUUCACAGCUCUGGGGCAGAGAUGCAUCAGAGAAAGCAACACCUUAUUGAAGAAGUAACCGAACCAUCACAAAAGCUGCAAGUAUCAUGCCCAAUUCUGCAUGAGGAUAAUUUCGACUUGAAAUGGAAAGAUCAAAGUGCGGUGUCUUCCAUGGCAUUUAAACAUGCAAUUGUAGAGGCUUCUCUUGAUUUGGGCCAGAGAAGGCAGACAGAUGGAGAUACUGAUGGUUGCUUAAAGGAUAUAAGGGAAACACCAGGGCACACUAGCGUUCUUGAUGAGCAACCACAUACAGCAGGUGAUGACCUAGAUUUUCUAUAUUUUGGGAGUAAACUAAGACAUGGAGACCCAAGAUUGUCAGCUUAUACUCAAGCUGCUAUAGAAGAGCUGAAAUCUUACCUUGGAGAACAUGGCCAGGUCUCAUCUUAUUCAGCUAGAUCCCCCUGUCAUGAGGAUCCACAUUCAGUUGUUGCUGAAGAAAGCAUGCCAGAGUUUGAGGGGUUCAGUGUUGGUGUGCUUCAAGAGAAUAAGCUGUCAUUAGUUGCAGGGGAUGGAAUUUGCUCUCAUGACCAGAAUAUUUCAAGCAUUACAAAAGAGCAGGUUGGUGUUCUUGAGCAGCUCUGCAGAUCUACUGGGAUGCUUACUCCACUACAUCCUUCGACAAGAUACAAAAUACAUACAACACCAGAUGUUUGCCGGUCUUUACCUAAAGGACUUCUGGAGCACAUGGAUUUGGGGCAAGCUCUUCCCUUUUGUGGUAUUGACAGCAAGGAACAUAAAGGCCAUGAAGAUGGUGGGCUUAAUGAUGUUUGCUGUAACAUUGAUGCAGAAGUAGAUGGUGCUUUUCUCGGAAGCUCCUAUUCCAAUUGCAUGCCUUCUUCUAGUGUUCGAUUUGGAUGGGAUGCUAGACCUCCUUUUACCCCCCCAGCUGGAAAACUUAGUCAAAGAAUCAUUUCAAAAUCUAUAGGUGGCAGUUCAGAGGAAAAACUCAGCAUAAAUCCAGAGCUCACUUGUUUCCGGAUUGAUGAAGAUACCUGCAUUAAUGAAGAAAAUGGGUAUCUAGGUGAGGGAAUCAGCCUGUUCCAGGAAGGAAUUGACUUAAAAGAAGGAAAAACCUCAAACAGAAGAGAAGUGAUUGCUGAUUUAACUUCAGAAGGUUGCAACUCACCCAGUUUGGCUUCUGCAGAGAAAUUUCCAGACAGAUGUAGUUUAGAUUCUGUGAACACAGAAUUCAACUCACUUGGGACCCAAAUGGCAGUCAAGAAGAAGCUUGAAAAUGGUUAUGGAAAGGAUAGAAAAAGUAAGAAUGAGGAUAAGGAGAACCGAGAUCCUUCAAUAGUUGGAAAUGGAGCGCGAAAGGCCUCUAAAUUUCAGUAUAACAGGAACAGUAGGCCAAAAUUAUCUGGGAAAGCUGCUGAGAAAAAAGAAAGCCAAACUUUCUCAGAGAAGAGCUGUAAACCUAAUAAUAUCGUUUCUAACGUUUCAUCAUUUAUUCCACUUGUUCAACAAAAACAAGCAGCUGCGGUUUUGACAGGGAAGAGAGACAUUAGAGUGAAAGCUUUGGAGGCUGCUGAGGCUGCAAAAAAUCUUGCAGAAAAAAGAGCGAACGAGCGUAAAAUGAGGAAAGAGGCAGCAAAUAUUGAGCAAAAGAGGCAUGACAAUAUUAAACAAAUGGAAUUGAUGCAAAAAAAGAAAGAGGAGGAAAGGAAGAAAAAGGAAGCUGAUAUGGCAGCAAGGAAGAGGCAGAGGGAAGAAGAAGAAAGGAAGGAAAAGGAAAGAAAGCGAAAGUGUAUUGAAGAAACACGAAAGCAGCUGAGAGAACAUGAGGAGAAAUUACGAGCAGAGAGAGAGGAGAAAGAGCUGCGUCGCAAAACUGCAGAUGAGGAGCGCAAAAGGAAUCAAGAGGCAAAAAAGCAGCAGAAAACUGAAAAGGUGAGGGAACAAAAAAGGACAGAAAUGGAACAAAGACCAAAUAAGGUUGUGGCUGGAGAUGCCAGACAUGCAAGUAACAACCGAGAAGAUCGUGAAUCUUGUAAGGAGGCUGACCACAUUGGAAAGGUGUUCAACGGCUCGGACAAUUUAUGUAAAGCAAAUGAAGAUGGUGGCUCAGUUAUUGAAGGAAGCAAAGAAUUACAGGCAUAUGAAAUUUCUCCAUAUCAAAGCUCUGAUGAUGAAGAGGAAGAAGAGGAUGAAAUAACUGAAAGGAAAUUUAUCCCAUCAUGGGCCAGGGGUAAAUGUUUGGCUCAAAAUUUAUCUGCUCUUCAACAUAUAGACCCUACUGCAAUUUUUCUUCAUGAAAGAUGUUUCAGUUUAAGUGAAGUUCUUUUGCCUCGGAAGCGAAAGCCAUUAUAGGAAGGCAUGUUGAUGGUUGUAGCAGUUGUAUAAUGCCUCCAUGAUUUCUUCUCUUGGAGAGAAGAACAAUGUAAAACCACUGUGGAGGAUACUUUUUUGUAUAGAAGGGGGCACCCUGCAAAUUAGCUAUUGGGUAGAAGUAUAUUGGCUUGAUGAAAACUGAUGGAUCAAGGUGAUUUUCUUUGCCAUGCUGCCCUCUACUACUCUCUGUACUCAAUAUGACACUUGUAAUAAUGUAUAUACAUGUAUGAUAAUCCCAACUGGCCAAAUCAAUGGCCCCAUUGCAAUGGAACAUAGUUAAAAUCCCAAAGAGAGCACAAUCUAAGCCAUCUCAGUUUGCGCUCUAAAUUUGGACUGCUAACAAUUUUAUUUAAUCACAUUGCAAUAAGAAUCAUAUUCUCC